rnacentral:rRNA from 1 species
UACGGAGGGUGCGAGCGUUGUCCGGAAUCACUGGGCGUAAAGGGCGCGUAGGCGGCCUGGCAAGUCGAUGGUGAAAGCCCGAGGCUCAACUUCGGGUCGGCCACUGAUACUGCUGGGCUUGAGUCGACUAGAGGCAGAUGGAAUUCCGGGUGUAGCGGUGGAAUGCGUAGAGAUCCGGAAGAACACCGGUGGCGAAGGCGGCAUCCUGGACCGGCACUGACGCUGAGGAGCGGAAAGCCAGGGGAGCAAACGGG